rnacentral:rRNA from 1 species
UACAGAGGGUGCAAGCGUUAAUCGGAAUUACUGGGCGUAAAGCGUGCGUAGGCGGUUUCGUAAGUCGGGUGUGAAAGCCCCGGGCUCAACCUGGGAAUUGCAUUCGAGACUGCGAAGCUAGGGUGCGGAAGAGGGAAGCGGAAUUUCCGGUGUAGCGGUGAAAUGCGUAGAUAUCGGAAGGAACAUCAGUGGCGAAAGCGGCUUCCUGGUCCAGCGCCGACGCUCAAGCACGAAAGCGUGGGGAGCAAACAGG